rnacentral:misc_RNA from 1 species
UUAAGUUCAGCGGGUAUCCCUACCUGAUCCGAGGUCAAAAUUGGGGUGUUGCGCUUCGUGGGCGCCUGCGCGGAGAGGGGACGAGGCGCGGGUCUGCUGCGCUCGUAGCCAAUACACAGGCCGCCAAUGUCUUCGAGGCGAGUCCGCGCGCGGGGCGGGGACAAGCGCCCAACAGUCAAGCGGUGCUUGAGGGGUUAGAU